UACGUAGGGGGCAAGCGUUGUCCGGAUUUAUUGGGCGUAAAGAGCGUGUAGGCGGUUCGGUAGGUCCGUUGUGAAAACUCGAGGCUCAACCUCGAGACGCCGAUGGAAACCCUCGAACUAGAGUCCGGAAGAGGAGAAUGGAAUUCCUGGUGUAGCGGUGAAAUGCGCAGAUAUCAGGAAGAACACCCGUGGCGAAGGCGGGUCUCUGGGCCGAUACUGACGCUGAGGAGCGAAAGCCGUGGGGAGCGAACAGG
rnacentral:rRNA from 1 species